AUUGAACGCUGGCGGCAGGCCUAACACAUGCAAGUCGAGCGGAUGAAGGGAGCUUUCUUCUGGAUUCAGCGGCGGACGGGUGUGUAAUGCCUAGGAAUCUGCCUUGUAGUGGGGGAUAACGUCCGGUAACGGGCGCUAAUACCGCAUACGUCCUGAGGUAGAAAGUGGGGGUUCUUCGGACCUCACGCUAUCAGAUUAGCCUAGGUCGGAUUAGCUAGUUGGUGGGGUAAAGGCCUACCAAGGCGACGAUCCGUAACUGGUCUGAGAGGAUGAUCAGUCACACUGGAACUGAGACACGGUCCAGACUCCUACGGGAGGCAGCAGUGGGGAAUAUUGGACAAGGGGCGAAAGCCUGAUCCAGCAAUGCCGCGUGUGUGAAGAAGGUCUUCGGAUUGUAAAGCACUUUAAGUUGGGAGGAAGGGCAGUAAGUUAAUACCUUGCUGUUUUGACGUUACCAACAGAAUAAGCACCGGCUAACUUCGUG
rnacentral:rRNA from 1 species